GCAUCAAGAAACCUGUUCCUCUGGGGCACAGGGAAAGAUAAAAGAGAUCAGAGGUGCCCCCUGUAAGUGGAGAAACUCAGAAGGUGAAGCCUCAGCAUUGUCCCUACCAUGGACUGGACUCCUCUCCUCCUCACGCUCCUUACUCACUACACAGGGACCUGGGCCCAGUCUGGGCUGACCCAGGAAGCCUCAGUGUCAGGGUCUCUGGGUAAGACUGUCACCCUCACCUGCACUGGAAGCAGCAACAAUGUUGGAUACAGUGGUGCAAGCUGGUACCAGCAGGUCCCUGGAGCUGCCCCCAAACUUCUCAUGGAUCGUAGCAACAAUCGACCCUCAGGGAUCCCGGCUCGGUUCUCUGGCUCCCGUUCAGGAGCCAAGGCCUCCCUGACCAUCUCGGGGUUGCAGCCUGAGGACGAGGCUGAGUACUACUGUCUGUCUUAUGAUAGUAGCUACGAUCACACAGUGCUCCAGACUCAGGGAGAGGCAGCCACAGCCAGACUCACCUGCACCCUUAGCAGUGACUACAGUGUUGGCAGCUAUUACAUAGGCUGGUUCCAGCAGAAGCCAGGGAACCCUCCCCAGUAUCUGGUGUGGUAUAAAUCAGACUCAGAGAAGCACCAGGGCUCCGGGGUCCCCAGCCGCUUCUCUGGAUCCAAAGGUGCCUCGGCCAAUGCAGGGAUCCUGCUCAUCUCUGGGCUGCAGCCUGAGGACCAGCCUGACUAUUACUGUGCUGUAUACCAUGACAGUGAAAGCAGCAAUGGUUACUUACGUGAAGACCUGGAGUGA